rnacentral:rRNA from 1 species
ACGGGGUGCAGCAGGCGCGAAAACUUUACAAUGCGAGCAAUCGUGAUAAGGAAACCCUGAGUGCCGGUCAAUGCAGGCUGUUCUGGUGUCUAACACACACCAGGAGAAAGGGCGGGGCAAGACCGGUGCCAGCCGCCGCGGUAAUACCGGCUGCUCGAGUGAUAGCCACCUUUACUGGGCUUAAAGCGUUCGUAGCUUGGUCGUUAAGUCUCUGGGGAAAUCUUUUGGCUCAACCAAAAGGCGUCUCAGGGAAACUGACGAUCUUGGAACCGGGAGAGGUAAGACGUACUUCGGGGGUAGGAGUGAAAUCUUGUAAUCCCCGAGGGACGACCGAUGGCGAAGGCAUCUUACCAGAACGGCUUCGACAGUGAGGGACGAAAGCUGGGGGAGCAAACCGGAUUAGAUACCCGGGUAGUCCCAGCCGUAAACGAUGUGCGUUAGGUGUGUCAGUGACCACGAGUCGCUGAGGUGCCGAAGGGAAACCGUGAAACGCACCGCCUGGGAAGUACGGUCGCAAGGCUGAAACUUAAAGGAAUUGGCGGGGGAG